GACGAACGCUGGCGGCGUGCUUAAUACAUGCAAGUCGAACGGACAGGCCCGGCUCUUGCUGGGUGCUCGUGUGGCGAACGGGUGUGUAACACGUGAGUAACCUGCCCCUGACUUAGGGAUAACUCCAGGAAACUCGGGCUAUUACCGCGUAGGAUCUCUUGCUGCACGUGGGGGGUUGGAAAGAUUCGGCGGUUGGGGCUCGUCUCGCGGCUUAUCAGCUUGUUGGUGGGGUAGUGGCGUACAAAGGUUUUGACGGAUAGGCGGCCUGAGAGGGUGACCGGCGACAUUGGGACUGAGGUACGGCCCAGACUGCUACGGGAGGCAGUAGUGGGGAGUAUUGCACAAUGGGCGGAAGCCUGAUGCGGCAGCGCCGGGUGCGGGAUGACGGCCUACGAGUUAUAAACCGAUUUCGCCUGUGACGAACCGUGAGUGACGGUAAUGGGUAAGAAAGCACCGGCUAACUACGUG
rnacentral:rRNA from 1 species